GGGUGGAGCUAGAAAGAGUCUUCAUUAUUGAUUUGUCCUUUGCUUGGAGGAGUCUUGUACUUAAAGUGAUUUUGAAACUAGGUGCUUAAAUGGUUUUGCUUUUUUUUGAAGCUACUGAAGAUUGAUCAAAAUUUGGGAAGAACUUUUGAAGUGUUGAUGAUGGAUGUCUGGCUGCUGAUGCUAAAUUUUUGAAGUGUUGAUAAUGGUUGUCUGGUUGUUGAUGCUUUUGAUAUCUGAGUCUUUUGAAAUGCCUUGUUUGAAGAUCAGGUUGUUCUUUCUUUUAAUGGGUCUUGCCUUGUCUUGAGUUAUUUUGAUGGUAAUGAUAGCAUUGGAGAGGAUUAAUCAAAGAUGUCAUUAACAUUUGAUUGAAUAAGAGGAUUAGAAGAAGUGUUAGCG
rnacentral:lncRNA from 1 species